UACGAAGGGGGCUAGCGUUGCUCGGAAUCACUGGGCGUAAAGCGCACGUAGGCGGCUUUUUAAGUCAGAGGUGAAAUCCUGGAGCUCAACUCCAGAACUGCCUUUGAUACUGAGAGGCUUGAGUCCGGGAGAGGUGAGUGGAACUGCGAGUGUAGAGGUGAAGUUCGUAGAUAUUCGCAAGAACACCAGUGGCGAAGGCGGCUCACUGGCCCGGUACUGACGCUGAGGUGCGAAAAGCGUGGGGAGCAAACAGG
rnacentral:rRNA from 1 species